rnacentral:rRNA from 1 species
GAUGAACGCUGGCGGCGUGCUUAACACAUGCAAGUCGAGCGGAAAGGCCCAACUUUGUCUGGGUUUUCGAGUGGCGAACGGGUGAGUAACACGUGGGUGAUCUGCCCUGCACUUCGGGAUGAGCCUUGGAAACUGGGUCUAAUACCGGAUAGGACCACAUGAUGGUGGGGGUGGUGGAAAGUUCGUCGGUGUGGGUGGAGCUAGCGGCCUAUCAGCUUGUUGUGGGGGUAAUGGCCUACCAAGGCGCCGACGGGUAGGCGGCCUGAGAGGUGGUACGGCGACAUUGGGCCUAAGAUACGGCCCAGACUCCUACGGGAGGCAGCGGUGGGGAAUAUUGUACAGUGGUCGCAAGCCUGAGGAAGAGGCGCUGGGUGGGGGAUGACGUCCUACGGGUGGUAAACUCCUUUCGCUAAGGACGAAGCGCAAGUGACGGUACCUGGAGAAGAAGCACCGGCUAACUACGUG